UGGGGAAUAUUGCGCAAUGGGGGAAACCCUGACGCAGCGACGCCGCGUGAGCGAAGAAAGCCUUAGGGUUGUAAAGCUCUGUUCUAUGGGACGAAGUCCCUGACUGUAAACAAUGGUCAGGGGUGACGGUACCAUAGGAGGAAGCCCCGGCUAACUACGUGCCAGCAGCCGCGGUAAGACGUAGGGGGCGAGCGUUGUCCGGAAUUACUGGGCGUAAAGAGCACGUAGGCGGGACCUUAAGUCAGGUGUGAAAGACCGGGGCCUAACCCCGGGGUUGCACUUGAAACUGGGGUUCUUGAGGGCAGGAGAGGAAAGCAGAAUUCCUGGUGUAGCGGUGAAAUGCGUAGAAAUCAGGAGGAAUACCAGUGGCGAAGGCGGCUUUCUGGACUGACCCUGACGCUGAGGUGCGAAAGCGUGGGUAGCAAACAGG
rnacentral:rRNA from 1 species